AACGAACGUUGGCGGCGUGGAUUAGGCAUGCAAGUCGAACGAAGACGGGGUAGCAAUAUCCCGGACUGAGUGGCGAAAGGGGCAGUAAGGCGUGGGUAACCUACCCCGGGGAUCGGGAUAGCCUUCCUAACGGAUGGGUAAUACCGGGCGAUCUGACGAGGGGGCAUCUUCUUGUCAGGAAAUGAGUUUCGCCUCGGGAGGGGCUCACGUGAUAUUAGCUUGUUGGCGGGGUGACGGCCCACCAAGGCCAAGANGUCUAGCGGGUAUGAGAGUACGACCCGCGCCACUGGCACUGAGACACUGGCCAGACACCUACGGGUGGCUGCAGUCGAGGAUCUUCGGCAAUGGGCGCAAGCCUGACCGAGCGACGCCGCGUGCGCGAUGAAGGCC
rnacentral:rRNA from 1 species